GGGCUGAGAGAAAGUGUACUCCCCCGCCACCCGGUUCCAGCCAGCAGCCAGCAGUUCCUCUCUGAGCAGACUGCAAACAAGAGAUCGCCGUGAUGAUGAACGUUGCUGGCAGAAGCCUCCCAACCCCGCUUCUCCAGAUCCCUCUGGUGUUUGGAACAUUCAUCGCCCCGUUCUGUGGGUCUCUCUGAAUCCCUUCUUCUUUCCACACACCUCUUAGUACUGUGCUGAGUUCUGCAGUGCCUACUCCAUGGGAAAGAUGGCUGCUUUCCCACACACACUGCAGGCAUUGUUAGUAGUUCAGCAGAGAAUCCUCCCCGACGGGUGAAUGGGAUCAUUGGAGGAUCAGCCUCCCUCCCUUUAAAUAUAUCCUCAACAAAUGCGGUGAUAGAAAUUGAGUGGAUGUUUCAAACCAAAGACAGUGGCACACUCCUAAUUGCGGAAUUCAGGAAAGGAGAAUUACAGAGGCCUGAUCCGAGUGACCGGUUUGGGAAGCGUCUGGAGAUGGCCAACGAAACCACGCUGAGAAUCUUGAACCUGGAGAUGGAGGACCGUGGACUGUACAAGGCGCGGGCAAAACUGACUGCCUCAGAAGCGGAAGACCACGCUUUCAGCCUCGCAGUCUAUGAUCAAAUACAAGAUGUACAGAUACUUCACCGAUUGGUCUCGAGCACUCCAGAGGGAUGCAAUGUGACCUUGCAGUGUCAUUCAUCUGGAAAGGGUGAACUUAAUUUCUGCUGGAAAGGAGGGGAAACAUCCAGGGCCCUGGAAAAUGGUUCAGACUGGUACAGGCUCUCUGAGAAUGGUACAGCUCUCCACUUGUUCUGGCAGCCCAACCCUUCAGACUCCAUCAUCACCUGCUUCAUUAGCAACCCUGUUGAUCAGAAGAUGGUCUCGGUCAGCUUGCUCAGCAUCUGCCCAAACAGAGAUGAAAUUCGAUCCAGAAAGCCUUGGCAUUGGGGUGCCACUCUGGCUAUUUCAAUGAUUCUCCUCCUGGCUGCAGGUUUCGGAAUAUGGGUGUGGAAGAAAAAAAGGAAAACACCAAGAGAUCAAGCAUACUGAAGUCAUAUGGAGUCCCUGCAAAGGAGUCUCUUCAUACUGUGAUCAUACACUUGUUAUCUGUUUCGUGUGGCCUAUGCUGAGUUGGUCUCAUCUUGCUCAUGCACAAGACUCGGCACUACAUUUGACUCCACGCUACAGGAAGACCAAAAUUAUGCUUGCUUGCUUGCUGCCUCGACGUGUUCAAAAAUAAAAGCACAUCCAAAGAGCCUUGCUUUGGGAAUUAGCCCAAGAGCCAUCUCGUCCGGUAUCCAUAUUUCCCACAGUUACCCAUCCAGAUGCUACAGGGACAGGAGGGGAAGGCUGAUAGCGCUGCUCUCUUCUCCAGAAGCCGCUUGUCAGAGGUAGACUGCAUCUCAACAUGGGAGUUCUGUUUAGCUAAUAUGACUAAUAACCAUUGAUUUUGUUUUUUGUUUUAAUGGAAGCUUCCUUGGUCCAAAAGGUGUGUGUGUGUGUGUACAUGCAUGUGGCAAUAUACAGUGUGUGCGCGCACACACACACACACACACACACACGUUUCCUUUUAACUGUGCUGGAGUAUAAGGAAAGGCAAUAAUCAAAAAAGCCGUGUGUGUGUUUUUAAAAGAGAUACGUCUCAAAAGAGUAAAUAUUUUCCUGGCUCGAGAUGCUUUAUCAGCUUUCCAAAAUACUACUUUUGCAAAACAACCAGAAUGAAAUAGUAUUUGAAUAACAGAGUGUAACUAAGGGUCAGCUCAUCUUUAUUAGGAACAAGGUAUGCUGCCAGCACAGACUACGCUAAUGAGAUAUUUAUGCUUUUAAAACCCAUUUCUUUGUUCCUACGCCUUUGCAAUGGGGCUGUGUCUGUUUGUAGAGCUGGUUCCCAGCAGAGCUGGUGACUGGCCUGCCAGCUAGCUUAACCAGAGGGGCACCUAAUGAGAUGGGCCAGCAGCAAAGAAGAGUCAAUAAGCCAAUAAGGCAGGAGUCAGACAGAGAAGCAGGCAGGCAGAGUUGGACUCCCAGGGAGUUAUUCCUACAUGGCUUCAUGCUGUGGGGUAAAUGUUGAGUGAAGCCACUUCGAAUCACACUCGAUGUUUUCAGAAAAAGUGGCUUAAAACCAGCAUUUUAAAAACCCAGAAAAACACCAAGUUAGAAUUUGCAAGACAAAGCCCAAUCUGUGUGAAGUGGGUCCAAGGAUCUCGAAGGGACUUCGGGGUAAGUUUGGCUGGUGUGUGAACACACACGCUCUCUCCCGAAGGAGAUUCAGGGUAGAAGGUCUGUAAAUGCCUCCAGAAGGAGCUGUUAAUCCAGCAACAGAUACGCAGGAACUGAGAGCUCUUUUGGUCUUAGGGCUGCUCAGCGUUGUCCCUCCAGCCAUUUUGGGACUACAAUUCCCAUAAUCCCCAGCCACAGCAGUCAAUAGCCAGGGAUUGUGGGAAUUGUAGGCCAACAUCUGCAGGAGGCCCUGUGCCUAAGGAAGCCAGGCUCUGGGAGUGAUUCUGGGAGUCUGGAAGCGGCCGGCUUGGCCUGACCCACAGGGCAACAGGGCAUAUUCCCAGUGCAGCCCACUGCACUUGGCAGCAGUGAAUACUCCCACCCUUAAGAACCCAUUCUGCUCAACACCUGGCGCCCUCCCCACAUAUAUUCCACUGCCCUCUCAGGGUCCCCAGUCCAGCCCUGGGAAGCAGAAGCGGCCCCUCCGCUCUGCCAAGGGUGGAUUCCCCUCAUCCUCUGCGUCAGUCACCCCUCUCAGUCUGCGUUGAUGUCGGGGCCGAUCCUGACACAGGCAGGCUACAUUGACCAAUUAAAAAACCACAAAACCACAGCCUGCUCUCUAUCAAUCCCUUUUACAAGCCCAGCCCCUCUUUUCUGGCCUCAAUCUGGGAAGCCACUGUCCUGUUUUGUCUGUAUUGCUUCCUUUUGGAGAAGUUUGGGGUCUCUAGAAGGUCAAAGGUCUCGGGAUGUGGGGGGAACAGACACAAAAUGCCAGCUCGUGGCCUUCCUUCUAUUCCCCAGUCCCAUAAUAACCGAUCUGGCUACUGAAUGUUGUGAGAUGUCUUUUGUGCUGGAGUAUAUUAACCAGAUGCACCCUGACAGUAACCAUUCUUAAAAUGCUAUUUUAAAAGUAAACAAACUGUGUCACGUCUCAUUAUGGGAUAGCUUUUCUAAAUUACAGUGUCGAAGAAGUGACAGAGCAUGUUUACUCAGCGCCUGCCAACUGAGCAAAGAGGCACCUUUUUAAAGUGGUGAUUAUCUUGUAUUUAGCAGGGGGGAGAGCAACUGGCCCUGUCCAUCCCCAGCACAACACCCCUCCAGUGGCUGUUGCUGGUAUCUGCCUUAUGUUUCUUUUUGAAGACUGUAAGUCCUUUGGGGACAGGGAGUCAUUUUAUUUAUUUAUUUACAUCUCUGUAAACUGCUUUGGGAACUUUUGUUAAGAAGCGGAAUAUAAAUAUUUGUUGUAUCUGUAUAUUACACCACAUAAGGCAUGGAACCCUGCAGAUUCUUUGCUGCUACCUGGAAGAAAUUAUUUUAAAAGAGGACUUGGAACUGGCUACUCCCUUACUAUCCACAGUCAAGCUAUAUACUUCAGUACAUUAGAAAACUCACAGACAGUAUUAGUACUUUACUAUUACGCUGACCUGCCUGAGAAAUGAAAAAAAGAUUGUCUGUCGGGUAGGUUUACUGAAAAAUGGAUGUUAUUUAUUGGCUCCUAUAUAUUCUUGUCCAUUAUUUCCAUUUUUAUAAUUUUUUAUACUCUUUUGUAUGGUGGUCUGAAUGCAAAUAAAACCUUAUUUUGAACGGCA